UUGCACCGUCGCCUGCCCUACAGUUCACCGGCACGCAUUUUCCGCAAGGAAUGUCUACCGCAGACCCCUCUAUGAAGGUAUGGAUGCCCGCGCAAGCGCUCCCGAGCCUGCAUCAGGACCUCGCUGCUAGCUGCUGCUGGACAUUGUCGCGGGUUCAACGCAUCCAGCAAGGGGUGCCCGGCCGACCAAGGGGGAAUGCGUGUCGGAACUUAACCCUAAGUAAUCCUUCUGGUUUUCUUCAAGUCUUGUGCCUCUGCCGUCGGCAGCCUUCUAAGUUGCGCGAGGAUCCUCGGAUGCCUUUACCCGCUGAAAAGUUGGAUUGGCUGAUGAUUGGAACCUCUGCUGCGACAGACUGGCUCGCGCCGACGGCCCGGUUGCCUCUUCCGUCCCGGAGGCAGGUCAAAGGUGAGGAUGCCAUGAGUCGUGUGGUAAGAGUCUCUGGUCUGAGACCGCUCGUCCGCUCCUCUCCGCCGGAACCAGUGCUGUGGUUUUGACAGCACGGCUGAUCGAGUGGUGCGGUCUGAACAACUCUGGGAGCUGAUAUGGCGUUGAAAAUAGAGACAAUUGAGGAGUGCAAGUUGAGCUUGAAUGCGGUCACACACAGAGAUGGCGUUUCACGAUCCUAAUCCAGCUUCCCCUCGCCGGAGGUUUUGUCAGCGUCAUGCCUGGCAUUACUGCGAGAGAUUGCGUGGAUCACAUACAGAAACGCUGCUCGUACUUCCACUGCCCAUUCAUAAUGCUCUCGGAUCUUGAGCCCUCAGUCUCUCAACUGCCGAAGUGGCCCCGGAACUACGGAAUGCCCCUCGAGCCACAUGUUCGCCCCGGCGACAGCGUGGCAGAUGGUCCAGCUAGGCACAUUAGCUUCCACACGUCAGCUAGGUCCGACGUGAUGGAAGGCGCCAGUCCACCGCUGAAUGCCCCGCGGCAUCAGCAUCUUCCUCUGUUUCUGGGUCUCCCCAAAGACGAGAUGAAAGCGCGUUUUUUAUGGAUGUCUUUUGUGCGUGCGGCAAUGCUUCCUUUUUCCGGCUUGCCUGGCAAGCUUUGAUGGGAAUGAAACAAAAACUAGUCCCUGCGGGCAGUGCAAUACAUACAGAACAAGUCAGCAUGAGCUAGCGACCUUGUUGUUUGGAAAUGGUAAUGGCUGGACUGGGCGUUGGUGGAAACCAGCCAGAUGACAGCAGCGAAAUGCUACGGCUUCGGUAACGGGUGACCCGAGUGAUGUAAUGUCUUCUUGGGCUCAAUUGAGCAGACAGCGCCGAUCCAAAAAGCCGUGUUGGGACCCAUCUCGUGUUGGUGUCAAAGUUUCGUACUUGUCCGGUACUGUGGGCUGGCGGAGCUGGCUGCAAGCUUGAGAUGUGCCUUGCGGCGUUUCCGUGCUGAAUUCAUUCGCCUUGAAAGGACAGGCCUUGGGAUGUGGGCAGUCCUGGUUGUCUCGGCCGUCAGAAACGUCGGACGGGACAACCCCCCACGUUGGAGG
rnacentral:telomerase_RNA from 1 species